UACGACUCUCGGCAACGGAUAUCUCGGCUCUCGCAUCGAUGAAGAACGUAGCGAAAUGCGAUACUUGGUGUGAAUUGCAGAAUCCCGUGAACCAUCGAGUCUUUGAACGCAAGUUGCGCCCGAGGCCUUUUAGGUUGAGGGCACAUCUGCUUGGGCGU
rnacentral:rRNA from 1 species